CCUACGGGGGACAGCAGUGAGGAAUAUUGGUCAAUGGACGCAAGUCUGAACCAGCCAUGCCGCGUGCAGGAAGACGGCUCUAUGAGUUGUAAACUGCUUUUGUACGAGGGUAAACGCAGAUACGCGUAUCUGUCUGAAAGUAUCGUACGAAUAAGGAUCGGCUAACUCCGUGCCAGCAGCCGCGGUAAUACGGAGGAUUCAAGCGUUAUCCGGAUUUAUUGGGUUUAAAGGGUGCGUAGGCGGUCGGAUAAGUUAGAGGUGAAAUCCCGAGGCUCAACUUCGGAAUUGCCUAUGAUACUGUUCGGCUUGAGAGUAGUUGCGGUAGGCGGAAUGUAUGGUGUAGCGGUGAAAUGCUUAGAGAUCAUACAGAACACCGAUUGCGAAGGCAGCUUACCAAGCUACUUCUGACGUUGAGGCACGAAAGCGUGGGGAGCAAACAGGAUUAGAUACCCGGGUAGUC
rnacentral:rRNA from 1 species